rnacentral:tRNA from 1 species
GGAGGUACUUCCCGUCUGGUGACGGGCCUGGUCUUCAAAACCAGCCGGACUGCGGCGAGAGUCGUGGUCGGUGGGUUCGAUUCCCAUGUGCCUCCGCCA